GAGAGCGCCUGGACUGCUCUAGGGCAGUUGACGAGGACCCGGUUUAUCGAAAGAUUCGGCGGAUGACCGGGAGGCUUGAUACGGCCUUUAACCAAUGGGAAAAAACAGUUCGUGAGGGCUGAACAGAU
rnacentral:ncRNA from 1 species